AGUGAACGCUGGCGGUAGGCCUAACACAUGCAAGUCGAACGGCAGCACAGUAAGAGCUUGCUCUUACGGGUGGCGAGUGGCGGACGGGUGAGGAAUACAUCGGAAUCUACUUUUUCGUGGGGGAUAACGUAGGGAAACUUACGCUAAUACCGCAUACGACCUACGGGUGAAAGCAGGGGAUCUUCGGACCUUGCGCGAUUGAAUGGGCCGAUGUCGGAUUAGCUAGUUGGCGGGGUAAAGGCCCACCAAGGCGACGAUCCGUAGCUGGUCUGAGAGGAUGAUCGGCCACACUGGAACUGAGACACGGUCCAGACUCCUACGGGAGGCAGCAGUGGGGAAUAUUGGACAAAGGGCGCAAGCCUGAUCCAGCCAUACCGCGUGGGUGAAGAAGGCCUUCGGGUUGUAAAGCCCUUUUGUUGGGAAAGAAAAGCAGCAGGUUAAUACCCCGCUGUUCUGACGGUACCCAAAGAAUAAGCACCGGCUAACUUCGUG
rnacentral:rRNA from 1 species